rnacentral:rRNA from 1 species
AGAGUUUGAUCAUGGCUCAGGACGAACGCUGGCGGCGUGCUUAACACAUGCAAGUGGAGCGACGAACCAGGCUUCGGCCUGGGGCAAAGCCGCGAACGGGUGAGUAACACGUGGGUAACCUGCCCCGACGACCGGGAUAACCCGGGGAAACCCGGGCUAAUACCGGAUGUGCUCGCCUCACACCAGUGAGGUGAGGAAAGGAAGCUUCGGCCUCCGCAUCGGGAUGGGCCCGCGGCCCAUUAGCUUGUUGGUGAGGUAAGAGCUCACCAAGGCUGCGAUGGGUAGCUGGUCUGAGAGGACGAUCAGCCACACUGGGACUGAGACACGGCCCAGACUCCUACGGGAGGCAGCAGUGGGGAAUCUUGCGCAAUGCGCGAAAGCGUGACGCAGCAACGCCGCGUGGGGGAAGAAGGCCUUCGGGUUGUAAACCCCUUUCAGGAGGGACGAAGCCCGGGCGGUUAAUAGCCGACCCGGGUGACGGUACCUCCACAAGAAGCCCCGGCUAACUACGUGCCAGCAGCCGCGGUAAUACGUAGGGGGCAAGCGUUGUCCGGAAUCAUUGGGCGUAAAGAGCGUGUAGGCGGUCCGGUAAGUCCGUUGUGAAAGUCAAGGGCUCAACCCUUGAAUGCCGGCGGAUACUGCCGGGCUAGAGUCCGGAAGAGGCGAGUGGAAUUCCUGGUGUAGCGGUGAAAUGCGCAGAUAUCAGGAGGAACACCAAUGGCGAAGGCAGCUCGCUGGGACGGUACUGACGCUGAGACGCGAAAGCGUGGGGAGCAAACAGGAUUAGAUACCCCUGUAGUCC